rnacentral:rRNA from 1 species
CAGCCGCCGCGGUAAUACCGGCAGCACGAGUGAUGACCGCUAUUAUUGGGCCUAAAGCGUCCGUAGCUGGCCACGCAAGUCCGUCGGGAAAUCCGCGCGCUUAACGCGCGGGCGUCCGGUGGAAACUGUGUGGCUUGGGACCGGAAGAUCCAGAGGGUACGUCCGGGGUAGGAGUGAAAUCCCGUAAUCCUGGACGGACCACCGGUGGCGAAAGCGCUCUGGAAAGACGGAUCCGACGGUGGGGGACGAAAGCUCGGGUCACGAACCGGAUUAGAUACCCCCGUAGUCCCUGUCUCUUAUA